rnacentral:rRNA from 1 species
AACGAACGCUGGCGGCGUGCUUAACACAUGCAAGUCGAGCGAGAAAGGGAGCUUCGGCUCCUGAGUAAAGCGGCGCACGGGUGAGUAACACGUGGGUAACCUGCCUUUCAGUGGGGGAUAACAGUUCGAAAGGGCUGCUAAUACCGCAUUCGUCCACACGGUCACAUGUCUGUGUGGAGAAAGAGGCGCAAGUCUCGCUGGAAGAUGGGCCCGCGGUCCAUUAGCUAGUUGGUGGGGUAAAGGCCUACCAAGGCUUCGAUGGAUAGCUGGUCUGAGAGGAUGAUCAGCCACACUGGAACUGAGACACGGUCCAGACUCCUACGGGAGGCAGCAGUGGGGAAUAUUGCGCAAUGGGCGAAAGCCUGACGCAGCAACGCCGCGUGUGUGAUGAAGGCCUCGG